GGAAUAUUGGACAAUGGGGGCAACCCUGAUCCAGCGACGCCGCGUGUGUGAAGAAGGCCUGCGGGUUGUAAAGCACUUUUCGUGGGGAUGAAAAGUACAUUGCUAAUACCAGUGUGUCUUGACCUAACCCAAAGAAAAAGCACCGGCUAACUCCGUGCCCGCAGCCGCGGUAAUACAGAGGGUGCGGGCGUUAAUCGGAAUUACUGGGCGUAAAGCGUGCGUAGACGGUUAUUUAAGUCGGGUGUGAAAGCCCCGGGCUCAACCUGGGAAUUGCAUUCGAGACUGAAUAGCUAGGGUACGGUAGAGGGAAGUGGAAUUUCCGGUGUAGCGGUGAAAUGCGUAGAUAUCGGAAGGAACAUCAGUGGCGAAAGCGACUUCCUGGACCAGUACCGACGUUCAGGCACGAAAGCGUGGGGAGCAA
rnacentral:rRNA from 1 species